ensembl:lincRNA 4930589L23Rik RIKEN cDNA 4930589L23 gene
GUCUCCAUUGGCCAGCUUUACCCGCCCUGCGCCGACAUCACUAGGGGUACGCCCGGAGUUAUCACUCGCCGGGCUCUUACUGGGGCUAGAGAGUUGGGCGGGGUGCACGAGUCUUCACACACUUGACCUACUGAGCUUCAGAGCACAACUAUGGAGGUUUUUGUUCUUUGGAAAGAAAAGCCCUUGAACUUGGUCCUCAUUUUAUCGGGUCCAGGACUCCCUAGCAGAAAACGUGGCCUGAGCUGGAGAAGCAACUUUAGUGCCUGACGUUGCUGCUGGGGAUUCUGGCCCCUGCUGCAUUUGAGGUCCCAGCAAGCAACUGCCGGAACCAGAGUAUAUCAGCAGGCUCAAUUUUGAAUUUACAAACAGUUUAUUCAGGUCACCGGGUUUUGUUUUGGUUUUUUUGUUUUUUGGGGUUUUUUUGGGUUUUUUGGUGUGUUGGUUCCCACUGGUACAUAAGUCACACAAAAGCUGUGCAUGUACUAAGCCCAUAUGUGCGUGCGUUAAGCCCACAUAUACACACAAAUGAUUGCUUUCCUAGUUCGUGUUCACAUUGGGCACAUAAAAAAAAAAAAACAAAAAAAAACAAAAAAAAACAAAAAAACUCAAUAGAUUCUUUGAUUUAGGGAAGCUGAGUGUGUGCUUAGACUCAUUUGCCUGUGCUUUCACGCCUCAGACCCCCUGAGAAUUUAUUGUGCUGUGGUGCAAGACGUUAAAGAACCUGCGGUUAUGAAGAGUCUGACCACAUUCAAAACAGUUUAUUAAUCUGUUUUGCGGCCUAGAGCUCUAACGUGGUUCAGAUGGUAGGUAGUAGAGCUAGAGUUAGUUACUUUUGAGUUCCACUCUGACUCCAGCAAAUUUGAGGACGGUGAACAAAUGACCCACCAAGAUUUCUUAGACUUGAUCAAAGGAAAGUUAAGGAUGGAGAAACAUGGCUCAGCAGUUACAAACAUAAGCUGCGUUUGCACAGGACUGGAGAUCUCUUCCCAGCAAGUGGAUCAGAAAGCUCACAACCAAGUCCAACUCCAGAAACCUACCUGCAUUUUGGCUUGGUGCUGGUUUGAGAGAGAGAGAGACUCUUGCUGGAUUCCACGUAGUUUUGCAGCUGAGGACAACCUUGGUCUCCCCAUGCCCCAGCCUCUACUAUUGAGAUUGCAGUGUGUACCCCCAUUCCUGGCCCAGAACCUAAAAGCCUGGCAAACCAGACUCAAUUCUGAGCUCACGUUAAAGGAAGGAAGAGAGAAGAAACUCCACAAACUUCCCAACCAACACACAUACCACACAUGCAUUUUCUGUUUUAUUGGCUAUUCUCUGAAGGUCCUCCCCUUCCCCCCCCCCUCUCCGUCCUAUUUUGGGGGUGUAGUCAUAAAGCAGUGCUUUUGCUUAC